rnacentral:rRNA from 1 species
AUUGAACGCUGGCGGCAUGCCUUACACAUGCAAGUCGAACGGCAGCACGGGUGCUUGCACCUGGUGGCGAGUGGCGAACGGGUGAGUAAUACAUCGGAACGUACCUUAUCGUGGGGGAUAACGCAGCGAAAGCUGUGCUAAUACCGCAUAAGCCCUGAGGGGGAAAGCGGGGGAUCGAAAGACCUCGCGCGAUUAGAGCGGCCGAUGCCUGAUUAGCUUGUUGGUGGGGUAAAAGCCCACCAAGGCGACGAUCAGUAGCUGGUCUGAGAGGACGAUCAGCCCCACUGGGACUGAGUCACGGCCCAGACUCCUACGGGAGGUAGAAGUGGGGAAUUGUGGACAAUGGGGGCAACCCGGAGCCAGCAAUGCCGCGUGAGUGAAGAAGGCCUGCGGGUUGUAAAGCUCUUUUGUCAGGGAAGAAACACCGGCUCUAACACAGUCCGGGAAUGACGGUACCUGAAGAAUAAGCACCGGCUAACUACGUGCCAGCCGCCGCCGUAA